GUGCUCGCUUCGGCAGCGCAUAUACUGAAAUUGGAACGAUACAGAGAAGAUUACCAUAGCCCCUGCUAAAAAAUCACACGCAAAUUUGUGAAGUGUUCCAUAGUUAA